rnacentral:rRNA from 1 species
UGCGUAGGGGGCUAGCGUUGUCCGGAUUUAUUGGGCGUAAAGAGCGUGUAGGCGGCCAGAUAGGUCUGCUGUGAAAACUCGAGGCUCAACCUCGAGCUGUCGGCGGAAACCAUUUGGCUAGAGUCCGGAAGAGGAGAGUGGAAUUCCUGGUGUAGCGGUGAAAUGCGCAGAUAUCAGGAAGAACACCUAUGGCGAAGGCAGCUCUCUGGGACGGUACUGACGCUGAGACGCGAAAGCGUGGGGAGCGAACAGG